rnacentral:rRNA from 1 species
AUGAGAAGCUUGCCAAGCUGCGCGAGGCCUCAGGUAAUUUCUUUGUGCUGCAUAAGAGAUGGUUCUGCUCCCGUUCAUCAUCCAUGUUGUCGAUCUUGUCAGUGCAAUCUCGCGAUGGAUGGGUUCUCUUCAUCCUCUCCAGCGAGUUAUACAAUGAGUAGCUACUGCUCACUAACUUCCCCCACAACGCAGUGCGUCAGGGCGGCACUUGCAGUGUGUCACUCACGGCCGAGCAGCGAACCCACUGGACCUGUCGAGUGGAUGAGACUGAUGAACCGCUGCAGAAAAUGGAAGGUCCCAUCCAUCAGUUCUUGCAUCAUUGUGAUGUUUUUCUAG